rnacentral:rRNA from 1 species
UGGUUGCUGUGGGUGGAAUGUGUGGUGUAGCGGUGAAAUGCUUAGAGAUCACACAGAAUAUCGAUUGCGAAGGCAGCUCACAAAGCCAAGAUUGACGCUGAGGCACGAAAGUGUGGGGAUCAAACAGGAUUAGAUACCCUGGUAGUCCACACUGUAAACGAUGAUAACUCGCUGUCGGCGAUAUACAGUCGGUGGCCAAGCGAAAGCGAUAAGUUAUCCACCUGGGGAGUACGACCGCAAGGUUGAAACUC